UUGGGGCACCGUGCUGGUCUGCGUCCUGCAGUUGUGGCACGCCAUAGGAAGGAGUCUGUCGUCGGUUGCACCACCUCGCCUCAUCACUAGAACCUUGGAGCGAUGCCCGCCCCUAAUAAAUGCCUCUUCUGAAGCGAGAAAUCGUACAUUCUUGCCGUCUGAAAGUGCACCUGUGUUUUUGCUGUACCAAGCCUCGUUCUAUUGGAUGUCCUUCUCUGGGUUGCUGCUUACACUUCUUCUCGGAACUGUCCUCAGCCUUCUGACAGGUGGUGACAAAACUGCUAGAAGCAAUGUGCCGCUCACAAGCCCUAUAUUCCUGAAGUUAUGGGCACGUUUCAAGUUCUUUCGCCAUA